rnacentral:lncRNA from 1 species
GUUUUAAUGUCUGUGCAAUAUUCAACAAAAUAAACAAAAUAUAGAAUAAUAAUAAUAAUUAUAAUGAUUUAUGAUUUCCUAAAGAAAUAUAUGCUUUAGAAAGAUGUAACAUAUUUAAAUAGAAAAUGAGAUGUAAAAUCUUGAGAACCCAAGAGCUGCAUAUGUCUGAAAGCAAAAUAAAUGAAACUGAGGGCAUAGAUAGAUAACAUUUUACUGAAAGACAAUGAAUAAAAUAUCACUGAAUAUGAGAAGAUAGUUCAUCAAAAGUUGGGGAUGUUUAAGAAGAAUUUUGCUGCAUCGAACAAUCAUAAUCGCUGCUGUCAGUCAUACAAAGUAAAAAGUAAACUGCGAAAGUUUAGUCCUAUCAAAAUUUAACUAUGGUGAUGUUGUGUAUGGGCCAUUCCACAAAUAUACGUGUUCCAGACCAUCGCGACAACAAAUAUUUUAGUGUGCAACAUAAGAAGUACGAAAGUAAAUGGCUCUAAAAAUUAUUACAAUAAACAAGAAUGUAAUUUGAAAUUUAGUUUCGUACUUCUUAUGUUGCACACUAACAUUCGUUGUCGCGAUGGUCUGGAACAGACGUAUAUUCGUGGAAUGGACAUUGUAUUCGAUCAGAUGACAGAGGAAGAAUUCGGGGGGUUCAAAAGACACCAGCCUAUUUGUCACAAAUUUAAAACAUGUAAAAUGGUUGAGCAUGGAAAAGAGAAGAUUUCUACUUGCUGCUUGUCUGUUCCACAAAAUUAUCAAAAACUCACUACCAACAUAUCUUUUUAAAAAAGUUAUACAGUGAUGAGCGCCCUAAUAACCGGCAAAAUAACGCAAAGUUAGGAAACAUUAAGUUGUGAGAUAACAGAAAUGAAACUAGUGGAGGUGGGAGAUUUAGCGAUAAAAACUUAUAAGUUUACAUUUUACUUAUUGUUUCCCACCUUCAGACGUAUCAGAUGAGUAUUUCAACUAAAACUGUCACAGUGGCAGUUGCCAAACUCGUCCGAUACAUCUAAAGGUGGAAAACAAUAAAUAUAAUAUAAAUGUAUAGGUUUGUAUCGCUAAGUUCUCCACCUACACUAGUUUUAUUUCUUUUUAUCUCACAACUUAAUUUAUUACACUCAUCACUGUUUAUAGAACUGACAUAAGAGGCACAGAGCAACAGUGGCCUAACACCAAAAAAACGAAGUUUUGAGAUAAAUGCAAUCUUUUCAUUCAUAUUUACAUUGUGCUUAUGGGAUGAUGCUACAAAUUAUGUAACGAUAUUUAUCCAAAUAUACAGGUAGGUUGUGUAGGCCCUUGUUAAUCUGAAGAUUUACGCCCGGUUUCAUAAUCAACUUAAAGUGAACAUUAACUAAAGUUCACUUUAACGUUGACAUUUACCCAUAUGAAUUGCAUUGACAGGGGUACCAACUUAAAACUUAAAGUCCACUUUAACUGAUUAUGAAACCGGGCGUUAAUGUUGCUACUUUUAUUGAUGUAUUAAUCUAAAAAUGCUCAAUUUGUGCUUUUUUUCUCUUGCUUAAGAUGAAAAGUCUAGGUUCUGAUUUCUUGAAAUCGGUACCAACUGAUCUUCAGCAUUUUUUUCUUAGUAUUUUGUGCAUAGAGGUAUAUCGUCAUCGUCAGAGCCAAACCUCAUAUGUACAUUAUUGACAAAAUCCACUAUUUUUUUUAUUUAUAAUUAAAACAUAAUACAGUCGAACCUCGAUUAUCUGUCUCUCCAUUAACCGUCACCUCUGUUAACCGUCAGGGUACAUACAGAAGUUGUAUCGACUACAUAAGCAAAACUUUUAAUGGAAAAAAACAAAAAAAAAUUAAUUUGAUUUGUGAUGAGGACACAAACGGCUAUCCAUUGCUGACAGAUAAAGAAAUCGUUGAAAUGGCAACAAAGGCGGACCAAACAGAUUCAGAAGCUGACACAGACUUGGAAUUUGACUGUAGCUAUGUUGAUGAACUUAUUGUAACUGACAAAGAUUUGCAUAAAUAAUCUAGAGAAGCUGCAUCGAAUAUGCAAUAAUUCAUCAAGUGGUAUUCUCAACAAGAAGCCAAUAAAGUAGAUUCCAUGAUCUUAUGCCGAUUAAGAAAUUCAGCCGUCGCAAAAUGUGAAGCAACAGUAAAACAAACAAAAAUUUCAGAAUAUCUUAAAUCGAUUCGAUUGUACGAACACAAAUCCGUCUUAUAUUGUCAAACAAACCAUACAAAUGAAAUUUGAGAGUUGUACUGUGAAUUUUUAAUUUUUUUUAAUAUUCUGUUAACCGUCUUUUCGAUUAUCCGUCAUACCAUUGGUCCGGUGCCCUGACGGAUAAUCGAGGUUCUACUGUACUGAUAUAAUCUUCUUAAUAUUAUUUCUAAAUUUAAAGAGUAUAGUACUUUUUAACACAUUUCAGCAAAAUGAUAUUAAUUCUGAUAAAGAUAAAAAAUAUAUGAGUUUUUUCAUUUCCUGAAAAAUCUCACAACAUGCACAUAUGUACAAGAUUUGGCACUGAGGCCGACGAUAUAUGAAUAUAUUUUAUCAUGUUAUAUUUUGUGUAUUGUUUGAAUUUGAACAAAAAAUGCAGACCUUUAUUGUUAUUAUUAGAUGCAGAUAUUUCCUCUUGUAUAAUAUAGUAAGACAAAACAUUGAAUAUAACAAGUGUUACCAAAAUAGUUCAAUUUCAAAUUUUUAUUUUAUUAUUGAAUCCUAUGCAGGAACAAUGUUGUAAAUGCCAAAUCAGAUUUUGUCGACAACUUGAGAAAAAUAUGCAAGUAGUAAUGAUUUGAAAAAAGGAUCUUUAUGAGGAUAACAUGAUAGACUAUAGGAUGCAUCAAGUAAAGUCUUUUAAUAUUCCCAAUGCUCGGCAGUACAUUAUUUUGCACAUGUAGAACUUUGUUCCUGGAAAACCAACAUACAACUAUUGUGGUUACGCAAACAUUGUUCCAGCAUGGGAUUCAAUUAUUUUCAUAGAAGACACAAUUUUUUCAAGACAUGACUACUAUCUGAUGUAUCUCUUUUAAUUUGAAAAAUGCCAAAUGUAAUAUUUAGUCAAAUUCUUAGUGUUCUGCACACACAUACACACACUUUGUCUAGAUCUAGAGUGACCCGUAGCUAUUUUUCCACUCUAUUUAUGAGUUAAAGAUUAAGGACAGGUUGUUCUUCCAAUUUGUUUAUUCUUUUCUUGAACCAAACGAAUUGAGGUUUGUCAGGGUUGACAGCUAUCUUCCACUACAUAAACUUUAUUAAAUUAAAAGCUUCAUGUAGAUUUGUCGCAGUACAUACUUCAUUUUGUAUAUUUGGCAGCUAUUAAUGUAUUUCAUACAUACAGAAUUGCAAUAAUCGUGGCAGUACUAGCUGUUCUCAUGUUUUGAAUAAAUAUUAUAAUUUCCAACUAAUAACAUAUUAAAAUAAUAUAAUAUCACCAGGGGUUUUCUGUAGCUUGUAGAUUAUAAUAAUAUGUGUAGGUAUUAAAGCACUAUUUUCCAUAGUUAAAAAUAUUAUUUUAUGUAAAGUUUUAUGAAAUAAAAGCACAUACUUAUCUAAAAGAAAUUUAUUUUAUUUUACAAAAUUUACAAAAAGUACAUCUCAAGUAUAUUUUGAAAUAUUACAUAGAAUGAGUAGAGAAUGAAAGAGCAUAUAUAUUGGAGAAUACACAGGAAUACUGAGAACAAAUAGAGAAGCAGGGAUCUAUAUAAAGAUGAUCAACUCUAGGAACUCAUUCACUAAACCCCUAACAAAACAGAAAACAACCUGAUAUACUUGAAAAUUAAGUCAGACUGGUGAUCAAACUCAAAUUUAACAAACCACCAGGUCCAACAAUUAAAAUACUUUGAAGAUGCUAUAAGACCAGAUACAUACAGAAAACAUGGAAACACUCAUAAAGAAACGUAACUAGAAAGCAAUAGAAAAUUUUAAAUAUUUGUUUACGAAAACUAAAGAUUGGUUCCUACAAAAUAAAUUUGUGUACAAUGAACAAAAGCAAAUGUAAUACUGUUUAUAGAAUAGAAUAUCUUUAUUAAUUCAUUUAGAUGACAGUGUGAUAUACCUACUGCCAUAAUUAGCGAAAACACCAUAUCUGCAUAGACAUCACAUUUGAGUAAAAUCGAUUUUUGUUUAAGUAUUUGUAUACAUUUACACAAGAUACAGCAUAAGAUGCAGUGUGUUUAAUGUGUUUUGGUUUAACUUACGUCAUUUUUAGUAAGCAAAUAAGAUAUAUAUGCACAUUUGGGUUAGAAAGAAGUAAAAAUUUAAUUUUUGCAGAUACAGUGUUUUCUCUAAGCACAGUAGUAUAGGACAAGCCAUAUAUGUAGUUACAUAGAACAUAAUCAACAAGUCAUACAGGACAAUUAUAUAAAACAUAAUCAACAAACUAUAAA